CAUGUCUAAGUAUAAGCAAUUAUACAGCGAAACUGCGAAUGGCUCAUUAUAUAAGUUAUCGUUUAUUUGAUAGUACCUUACUACUUGGAUAACCGUGGUAAUUCUAGAGCUAAUACAUGCUAAAAAUCCCGACUUCGGAAGGGAUGUAUUUAUUAGAUUAAAAACCAAUGCCCUCUGGGCUCCUUGGUGAUUCAUAAUAACUUUUCGAAUCGCACGGCCUUGCGCCGGCGAUGGUUCAUUCAAAUUUCUUCCCUAUCAACUUUCGAUGUUUGGGUCUUGGCCAAACAUGGUCGCAACGGGUAACGGAGGGUUAGGGCUCGACCCCGGAGAAGGAGCCUGAGAAACGGCUACUACAUCCAAGGAAGGCAGCAGGCGCGCAAAUUACCCAAUCCCGAUUCGGGGAGGUAGUGACAAUAAAUACUGAUACAGGGCUCUUUUGGGUCUUGUAAUUGGAAUGAGUACAAUUUAAAUCUCUUAACGAGGAACAAUUGGAGGGCAAGUCUGGUGCCAGCAGCCGCGGUAAUUCCAGCUCCAAUAGCGUAUAUUAAAGUUGUUGUGGUUAAAAAGCUCGUAGUUGAACCUUGGGCCUGGCUGGCCGGUCCGCCUCACCGCGUGCACUGGUCCGGCCGGGCCUUUCCCUCUGUGGAACCCCAUGCUCUUCACUGAGUGUGGCGGUGAAACAGGACUUUUACUUUGAAAAAAUUAGAGUGCUCCAGGCAGGCCUAUGCUCGAAUACAUUAGCAUGGAAUAAUAAAAUAGGACGCGUGGUUCUAUUUUGUUGGUUUCUAGGACCGCCGUAAUGAUUAAUAGGGACAGUCGGGGGCAUCAGUAUUCAAUUGUCAGAGGUGAAAUUCUUGGAUUUAUUGAAGACUAACUACUGCGAAAGCAUUUGCCAAGGAUGUUUUCAUUAAUCAGGAACGAAAGUUAGGGGAUCGAAGACGAUCAGAUACCGUCGUAGUCUUAACCAUAAACUAUGCCGACUAGGGAUCGGACGAUGUUAUUUUUUGACGCGUUCGGCACCUUACGAGAAAUCAAAGUGCUUGGGCUCCAGGGGGAG
rnacentral:rRNA from 1 species